UACAGAGGUGGCAAGCGUUGUUCGGAAUUACUGGGCGUAAAGGGCGCGUAGGCGGUUCGAUAAGUCCCGUGUGAAAUCCCUCGGCUCAACUGAGGAACUGCACGGGAAACUGACGGGCUUGAGUUCGGGAGAGGGAAGCGGAAUUCCGGGUGUAGCGGUGAAAUGCGUAGAUAUCGGAAGGAACAUCAGUGGCGAAAGCGGCUUCCUGGUCCAGCACCGACGUUCAGGCACGAAAGCGUGGGGAGCAAACAGG
rnacentral:rRNA from 1 species